CUUUUGCUUUCUAAACGGGCAUUUUAGAUACGACUCAUUCCAGUUGGGCUUUGAUCAAGCUAUCAAGGGUCUAUUAAUACAAUUCCCAGAAACUGCAAGUACACCCUGGAACUGAAUUUUGAAGUUGGACUAUCCCAGAUAUUUCAAGUGCAUACACCCUGAAGUAUAAACGAAAGAAUGGAGGCUCCAAUGUAAUGGAGGAAUUACAUUUUUUAAAGUUUCAGUCUGCAAUACCUCAAUCUUUCUACCAAGACCUUGAUCUCUGAUGUGGAACUUCGUCAAAUGCUGUCUGAAAAUGUAAGAGCACACUCUUCCCUGCAUGGAGACAAAGCCAGAAUCUUCCUUGAAAGGCAGGAGGGUGCUGAAUGAAUAAACAUUGGCAUUUUGUGGUGGGGUUCUCUGUCAGACCCAAGCAGCUCCAGAUAUAAAGUUUUGAUUAGAAAUUUCAAGAGGUGUUGUAUGGAAGGGCAUUAUCGGUCUGUUGUCAUGACUUCACAGAUUACAAUUAUACUUUUUCAAACCAUUUGUCAACGACUGAGGAAGAAGACAGGGCUGUCAGGCACUUUUGGCUAAGCACUGCCCAAGAGUGGACAAUGGGAAUGAAGAAAUGUUUUUCUUCCUUUUUGUUCAGGAAAAAACAGUUGUGGUAAAGGUCUUAGGAAUAGAUCAAUUUGACUUCUUCAACUUCUUUAUCCUGACAGAGGCUUGGUGAACUGUAAAUGAAUGUUCAGUAUUUUUAGAGAAACACUGAGGACUUUUAACGGCAACUUUAAGUUUAAUGAGCA